GGCUGGCAGAAGGAAGACGACAGUGGCUCUGCGGCGCUGCGGGGCACAGUGCCAGGAAUAAAUCACCCACCUGGAAGAGGUACAACGAUUGGCACCGGUUGUGGUGCUAAGCCUACCGACCUACGCUCCUUUUGUGUGGAAAUGGAGGAAACAGGUUUCCCUGCUCGUUAGGGGAUUGUGGAGAGACGGAGCCGACAGCAUGCUAGGACAAAUAGCGGUCCUGCCCAAGAUGGCGGCCAGGAGGCGGAGCAUGCAGCGGAGCGGAGAGGCAGGGCACGCCAGGAGCGACACUGCAGCCAUAAGAGUCAGGUGCGUAAACGACACACCUGCUCUCAAUCCAUGCAUCUUCUGCUGCAGCAUAAAAGAGGAGAAGGAGGAGCAAUCAUGGCAGAAGUAGGAGAAGGAACAACGGACGACAAAGACGACAAAGACGAUGAGAAUGACCCAGAGGAAGAUGAGCCCCCGCGGAAGACGCAGCCACCGGCCACCGAAAGGCGCGCCGAGACGAGCAGGCAAGGAGGUCGUGCUAGAAAUUGGCGCGACCGACUGGAACCAAAACAUGUUUAUUGAAAAGAUCAACAAGAGUCAAACCUGCUACAAUGCCUCAUGCAUCGAUGGUCACUGCAACCCACACGAUGACGUCUAGAGACCUGUCACAGGGAAUUUUUUUAAUU